rnacentral:rRNA from 1 species
AUUGAACGCUGGCGGAAUGCUUUACACAUGCAAGUCGAGCGGCAGCGCGGGGGCAACCCUGGCGGCGAGCGGCGAACGGGUGAGUAACAUAUCGGAACGUACCCAGUCGUGGGGGAUAACUAUCCGAAAGGAUAGCUAAUACCGCAUACGUCCUGAGGGAGAAAGCGGGGGAUCGCAAGACCUCGCGCGAUUGGAGCGGCCGAUAUCGGAUUAGCUAGUUGGUGGGGUAAAGGCUCACCAAGGCGACGAUCCGUAGCGGGUCUGAGAGGACGACCCGCCACACUGGAACUGAGACACGGUCCAGACUCCUACGGGAGGCAGCAGUGGGGAAUUUUGCGCAAUGGGCGAAAGCCUGACGCAGCAACGCCGCGUGCGGGAUGAAGGCCUCGGUUGUAACGUACUUCUAGCAGGAAGAAGGACGAAAGUAGACGGUACCGUGCAGAAGAAGACACCGG